CCCGCCCCCGGUCUCCCCUGCCCUCCCCUCACGGGCCACCGCCCCGCCCCGCCGGGCCCGGCCCGGCCCCGCCGCCCGGCCCGCGCCGCUCCGCGCCCACCGCGCUGGGGCCGCCGCGCUGCCCGGCUCCGCUGCGGGCCGGGGGGUACCACGGCCCGGCCCGGCUCGAUACAGCCCGGCUCGGUGCGGUCGGGCUCGGCGCGGCCCGGCAGGAGGGCGGCUGCGAUCUGCCGCGGCCGGCGAUGGGAGAUGGAGGGAACCGGCGGUGCGUUCCCUAAGGGAAAAAGCUCGGAGCCCACUUCUGUGCUCGUAACUGCUAGAUCCCGAGAGACACCACCAGCUGCAGCGGGGAAACGAC
rnacentral:lncRNA from 1 species